GACGAACGCUGGCGGCGUGCUUAACACAUGCAAGUCGAACGGAAAGGCCCUGCUUUUGUGGGGUGCUCGAGUGGCGAACGGGUGAGUAACACGUGAGUAACCUGCCCUUGACUUUGGGAUAACUUCAGGAAACUGGGGCUAAUACCGGAUAGGAGCUCCUGCUGCAUGGUGGGGGUUGGAAAGUUUCGGCGGUUGGGGAUGGACUCGCGGCUUAUCAGCUUGUUGGUGGGGUAGUGGCUUACCAAGGCUUUGACGGGUAGCCGGCCUGAGAGGGUGACCGGCCACAUUGGGACUGAGAUACGGCCCAGACUCCUACGGGAGGCAGCAGUGGGGAAUGUUGCACAAUGGGCUGAAGCCUGAUGCAGCAACGCCGCGUGCGGGAUGACGGCCUUCGGGUUGUAAACCGCUUUCGCCUGUGACGAAGCGUGAGUGACGGUAAUGGGUAAAGAAGCACCGGCUAACUACGUG
rnacentral:rRNA from 1 species